rfam:Candidatus Zambryskibacteria bacterium RIFCSPHIGHO2_02_FTLL_43_14 rifcsphigho2_02_scaffold_12120, whole genome shotgun sequence.
UAAUAUUAGAGUUUGAUCCUAGCUCAGGAUGAACGCUGGCGGCGUGGAUGAGGCAUGCAAGUCAAACGGGUUUAUUUUGUGUAGCAAUACACAUUAUGAAUCAGUGGCAGACGAGGUAGUAACACGUAGGAACCUACUCCUAAGUCAGGAAUAAUUCGUCGAAAGACAAACUAAUACCUGAUAAUAUUUUUGAAUUAAAGAAGUAAUUCGCUUAGGAAAGGGCCUGCGGAGUAUCAGCUAGUUGGUAGGGUAAUGGCCUACCAAGGCAGUGACGCUUAGGGGACCUGAGAGGGUGACCCCCACCGAUGGAACUGAGACACGGUCCA